UGGUGCCAGCAGCCGCGGUAAUUCCAGCUCCAAUAGCGUAUAUUAAAGUUGUUGCAGUUAAAAAGCUCGUAGUUGAAUUUCGGGGUUAGUAAGUUGGUCAUGCCUCUGGUAUGCACUGGCUUUACUGAUUCCUCCUUCUUGAUGAACUGUAAUGUCAUUAAUUUGGUGUUGCAGGGAAUCAGGACUGUUACUUUGAAAAAAUUAGAGUGUUUAAAGCAGGCAUACGCUUGAAUACAUUAGCAUGGAAUAAUGAAAUAGGACGUUUGAUCCUAUUUUGUUGGUUUCUAGGAUUGACGUAAUGAUUAAUAGGGAUAGUUGGGGGCAUUAGUAUUCAAUUGUCAGAGGUGAAGUUCUUGGAUUUAUUGAAGACUAACUACUGCGAAAGCAUUUGCCAAGGAUGUUUUCAUUAAUCAAGAACGAAGGUUAGGGGAUCGAAGACGAUCAGAUACCGUCGUAGUCUUAACCAUAAACUAUGCCGACUAGGGA
rnacentral:rRNA from 1 species